rnacentral:rRNA from 1 species
ACGGGUGAGUAAUGUCUGGGAAACUGCCUGAUGGAGGGGGAUAACUACUGGAAACGGUAGCUAAUACCGCAUGACGUCUUCGGACCAAAGUGGGGGACCUUCGGGCCUCACGCCAUCAGAUGUGCCCAGAUGGGAUUAGCUAGUAGGUGGGGUAAUGGCUCACCUAGGCGACGAUCUCUAGCUGGUCUGAGAGGAUGACCAGCCACACUGGAACUGAGACACGGUCCAGACUCCUACGGGAGGCAGCAGUGGGGAAUAUUGCACAAUGGGCGCAAGCCUGAUGCAGCCAUGCCGCGUGUAUGAAGAAGGCCUUCGGGUUGUAAAGUACUUUCAGCGAGGAGGAAGGCAUUGUGGUUAAUAACCACAGUGAUUGACGUUACUCGCAGAAGAAGCACCGGCUAACUCCGUGCCAGCAGCCGCGGUAAUACGGAGGGUGCAAGCGUUAAUCGGAAUUACUGGGCGUAAAGCGCACGCAGGCGGUUGAUUAAGUCAGAUGUGAAAUCCCCGAGCUUAACUUGGGAACUGCAUUUGAAACUGGUCAGCUAGAGUCUUGUAGAGGGGGGUAGAAUUCCAGGUG